AUUGAACGCUGGCGGCAGGCCUAACACAUGCAAGUCGAGCGAGCGGCGGACGGGUGAGUAAUGUCUGGAAAACUGCCUGAUGGAGGGGGAUAACUACUGGGAACGGUAGCUAAUACCGCAUACCAUCAGAUGUGCCCAGAGGGGUUUCGCUAGUAGGUUGGGUAAGGGCUCACCUAGGCGACGAUCCCUAGAUGGUUUGAGAGGAUGACCGGCCACACUGUAACUGAGACACGCUCCAGACUCCUACGGGAGGGAGCAGUGGGGAAUAUUGCACAAUGGGUGCAAGCCUGAUGCAGCCAGGCCGGGUGUAUGAAGAAGGCCUUCGGUUUGUAAAGUACUUUCAGCGGGGAGGCGUUACCCGCAGAAUAAGCACCGGCUAACUCCGUGCCAGCCGCCGCGGUAAUUC
rnacentral:rRNA from 1 species